rnacentral:lncRNA from 1 species
GAAAAAAAACAUAUUUAAGUUGGCACAGGGUGAGUAUAUAGCUCCUGAGAAGAUUGAGAAUGUCUAUGCCAAGUGCAAAUUUGUUGCUCAGUGCUUCAUAUAUGGUAAGGAGAUGAUUAUUGGUGUGUAAAUCUAUUCAAUAUAUUUUUGGUAAGCCUAUGUUAAUGUCUGCAGGUGAUAGCUUCAAUUCCUCAUUAGUGGCUGUAGUAUCUGUAGAUCCGGAUGUGUUGAAAGAAUGGGCUACUUCAGAAGGUAUCAAGGUAAUUGACCUCUUGAUUUUGUGUAAGAGAUAAUGAAUAGAACUCUGCAAUUGAUGUCAUUUAGAGUGUUGUGCAUUUCUGUUGGCUAUCAAAUGGAUAAAGCGGUUGCAUGUGCUUAUUGGACGUAGCAAGUCCUUAGCUCAUGGGAUCCUUGUCUACCAUUUCUAAUUUCAACCAAAUAACUGUUGGAAGACAUGUUAAAGUUUGUAUCAAUUUGAUGGCUUGUUCCUUGUCUAUAGAACAUCUUAAGUUUGCUUAUAUUCUGGACCGUGGAAUUCAUCUGUUCAUUUAGCCUGGAAGUUCGCCUAGAUGAAUACGAGGCAUGUAAUUGCUUCCUGUAAUAAGAACCUGCUGGUACUUCGUGCUAUUCCAGGGUCAAAUUCAUUGACUUUACCUAUGGUAUUUAAGAAUGGAAUUUAGACUCGACUUAAAGCCCUUCAUUGCUUUUGAUGUUUCUUAAAGUUGUAAAUUGCCAAUUGUGGUAAAAGAUUAACCAAAGUUGACAAUGUACUAACUUCUCUUAGAAAAGCUGUUCUGAAGUGAAUGACAUAUUUAAGGUGCUAACUUGCCUGAUUAUUUUAAAAGAGCUUACAACCAGACAACCUUUGAAAGAGCCUGAUCAGCAUGGUAAUUAAUUUUUUUUUUAGAUGAUUGAUUUUUGAGAUGACCUUUUAUUUUUUUUUCCUUCACUAGAUUGAAUAUCAAAUAUUACUUGGAUCUUUUACAAGUUGAUUGUGUAAACCAUUUUGAUCUUUCACGCAGAAGCUGACUAUGUUUAGCAAUUAUUACUUUUUAAUUGCUUUCCAGACCCAUGAGCUGCCUGAGCAGACUGAUUAGAGAUUUCAAGUGGGAAGUUUGAUUGGGGUAGUUUAUCUGUUAAAUGAUAAUGUGGAUGUCAAGAAGAGCCACACUGACGAGAAACUUCAUUUUUUCUUGUCCCAACUUAGUAGAUUUAGCAACAGACACCCGGACACCUGCAGCCUUUUGAUUUCUGAUUUCUAUUCUAUUUAGAACAUAGUGACCUAUUAUAACUGAGGGCAGAGUAUGGUAGAUAUUGUGCUCUUAGCAUUGGUGGUUCUCUUGUGUUUGGUUAAGUGGCAAAGGAGCACAUUCAAGAGGGUUGAAAACAGAGUUGUACUCCCUGGGUCUAAGUCACCCAGCUGAAUCACCUCUUAGUUUGUUUACGAAGCUGGGGGCAGGGCGAUACAUUCUAUUGCUUGCCAGAAAAAGUUGAGGAUGAGAAUUUUCUUGGUGACCAGGCCUGGUGUAGUUCUUUUAAAUCAUUCACUACUAUGUGAUACUCUGC